UGCCAGAGGCUGUCACCUUAUUUACAUACGUGCAAUUGCAUAUAUGUAUGUAUACAACAUAGACAUAUUAUACAUGCAUAAUACAGGUCUAUAUGUAUGUGUACAAUAUAUAAACAUAUAUACUACAUACAUACACAUAGGUAACAUGUAUGCAUUACACAUACGUAUAAACAUAUUAUCUACUGUGAGUGUGUAUAUAAUAUACACAUAUAUUUUGUGGUGGUCCGGCCACCGAGACACCGCCGGCAAAGCCUUGGCUCGGGCAGAGGCUCCGUCUGGCAGGCAGCACAACAAGCCAUAGUGUUUCCAGCAUUAUUAAAUUAUUUAGUUCAUAAGCGGGGCUGUGGGGACUCGGAAGCCCCGGGGUGAAUAGGAAUGUGAGUUGCAGGCGCGGUGCUGGACGCAGUACAUCUUCCAGGACACCAGGCCCUACGGUGCUGUUCCCGGCUGUGGGUGGUUGGGGACAGCUCAGCGGGUCAACGAAAAAUAAUUAUGGUGUACUACAAGGCGCAGCUGUGGAUAGCCUCGCCGCAAUGAUAGUAAUUUAUGUAAACACUGACUGCUGCUCUAAUUGAAAUUAUGAUGCACCUGGGCAGAGAAGGUGUGGGGAGGAGAGCGCUGCAUUUUCGCCUGUCGCCUUGGGAAGUCAGUCGCUAAUGCCCCAAGCUGAACAACCAAGGUUCACUCUGAUACAUCAUCCUUCACCUGUCCCCAAGUUUCAGAAAUUAGGCAAUCAGAGUUUGUCUGGUUUUUGUUAGAACAUCACCUCUUUCUUGAGCAAGUACUGAGUGCCAGAUGCUACUGUAAGCCUUGAGAAUACCCGCUGUGAGGCAGGACGAGGACCUCCCUUUUAAGUCAGUGCAGGAAGACAGUGAGUGGAUUAACUGGUGUAUAUGAGCUAUUUGAGGCCAGGCAUGGUGGCUCACGCCUGUAAUCCUGACAUUUUGGGAGGCUGAGGCAGGAGGAUGGCUUGAGCCCAGCAGUUCAGGGAUUCUGCGAUUGCACCACUGCACUCCAGCCUGGGUGACACAGUGAGACACUACUCUAAAAAUAAUAAAUAAAAGAUUUGAGGUAGGGAUGGGAUAAAUGCUGCUAUGAAGAAAACCUUUGUGUCAGUAGCAUAAAUAAAUAAACUUGAAACAUUCUUGCGCUUCUUAUUGAAGGUCAUGUCACUUGAUUUAGUGCUCAAGAGCUUGGUUAUUUGGACACGAAGAAGCUACUUCCCUCAGCAGUAAAGGAAAUAGAAAUUUGACUGUCUAGUGAAACCUACCAAUUCUGCCUAAACAUAUACUGUAGAGGCCAGCAGAGCAGAGUGGCAAGGAAGGGGGGCUCUCCAACAACAGCCUGAGUUCUGAGGCCAGCUCUAAACACUGCUAGCUAUGUAGACUUGUGCAAGUCUGUAGCUACUUUUCCCAGUUUCAUCCC
rnacentral:lncRNA from 10 species